GACGAACGCUGGCGGCGUGCUUAACACAUGCAAGUCGAACGGAAAGGCCCUGCUUUUGUGGGGUGCUCGAGUGGCGAACGGGUGAGUAACACGUGAGUAACCUGCCCUUGACUUUGGGAUAACUUCAGGACACUGGGGCUAAUACCGGAUAGGAGCUCCUGCUGCAUGGUGGGGGUUGGAAAGUUUCGGCGGUUGGGGAUGGACUCGCGGCUUAUCAGCUUGUUGGUGGGGUAGUGGCUUACCAAGGCUUUGACGGGUAGCCGGCCUGAGAGGGUGACCGGCCACAUUGGGACUGAGAUACGGCCCAGACUCCUACGGGAGGCAGCAGUGGGGAAUAUUGCACAAUGGGCGGAAGCCUGAUGCAGCAACGCCGCGUGCGGGAUGACGGCCUUCGGGUUGUAAACCGCUUUCGCCUGUGACGAAGCGUGAGUGUCGGUAAUGGGUAAAGAAGCACCGGCUAACUACGUG
rnacentral:rRNA from 1 species